GCGCCCGUAGCUCAACGGACAGAGCACAGGCCUCCGGAGCCUGGGGUUGGAGGUUCGAGUCCUCUCGGGCGCG
rnacentral:tRNA from 1 species